rnacentral:rRNA from 1 species
GAUGAACGCUGGCGGCGUGCCUAAUACAUGCAAGUCGAGCGAACGGACGAGAAGCUUGCUUCUCUGAUGUUAGCGGCGGACGGGUGAGUAACACGUGGAUAACCUACCUAUAAGACUGGGAUAACUUCGGGAAACCGGAGCUAAUACCGGAUAAUAUUUUGAACCGCAUGGUUCAAAAGUGAUAGACGGUCUUGCUGUCACUUAUAGCUGGAUCCGCGCUGCAUUAGCUAGUUGGUAAGGUAACGGCUUACCAAGGCAACGAUGCAUAGCCGACCUGAGAGGGGGAUCGCCCACACUGGGACUGAGACACGGUCCAGACUCCUACGGGAGGCAGCAGUAGGGAAUCUUGGGCAAUGGGCGAAAGCCUGACGGAGCAACGCCGCGUGGGUGAUGAAGGUCUUCGGAUCGUAAAACUCUGUUAUUAGGGAAGAACAUAUGUGUAAGGAACUGUGCACAUCGUGACGGUACCUAAUCAAAAAGCCCCGGCUAACUACGUG